UGCAAGUCGAACGGGAAAUAUUUCAUUGAGACUUCGGUGGAUUUGAUCUAUUUCUAGUGGCGGACGGGUGAGUAACGCGUGGGUAACCUGCCUUAUACAGGGGGAUAACAGUCAGAAAUGGCUGCUAAUACCGCAUAAGCGCACAGAGCUGCAUGGCUCAGUGUGAAAAACUCCGGUGGUAUAAGAUGGACCCGCGUUGGAUUAGCUAGUUGGUGGGGUAACGGCCCACCAAGGCGACGAUCCAUAGCCGGCCUGAGAGGGUGAACGGCCACAUUGGGACUGAGACACGGCCCAGACUCCUACGGGAGGCAGCAGUGGGGAAUAUUGCACAAUGGGGGAAACCCUGAUGCAGCGACGCCGCGUGAAGGAAGAAGUAUCUCGGUAUGUAAACUUCUAUCAGCAGGGAAGAUAGUGACGGUACCUGACUAAGAAGCCCCGGCUAACUACGUGCCAGCAGCCGCGGUAAUACGUAGGGGGCAAGCGUUAUCCGGAUUUACUGGGUGUAAAGGGAGCGUAGACGGUGUGGCAAGUCUGAUGUGAAAGGCAUGGGCUCAACCUGUGGACUGCAUUGGAAACUGUCAUACUUGAGUGCCGGAGGGGUAAGCGGAAUUCCUAGUGUAGCGGUGAAAUGCGUAGAUAUUAGGAGGAACACCAGUGGCGAAAGCGGCUUACUGGACGGAUACUGACGUUGAGGCUC
rnacentral:rRNA from 1 species